rnacentral:rRNA from 1 species
AACGAACGCUGGCGGCAGGCUUAACACAUGCAAGUCGAGCGCCCCGCAAGGGGAGCGGCAGACGGGUGAGUAACGCGUGGGAAUCUACCCAUCUCUACGGAAUAACGCAUGGAAACGUGUGCUAAUACCGUAUACGUCCUUCGGGAGAAGGAUUUAUCGGAGAUGGAUGAGCCCGCGUUGGAUUAGCUAGUUGGUGGGGUAAAGGCCUACCAAGGCGACGAUCCAUAGCUGGUCUGAGAGGAUGAUCAGCCACACUGGGACUGAGACACGGCCCAGACUCCUACGGGAGGCAGCAGUGGGGAAUAUUGGACAAUGGGCGCAAGCCUGAUCCAGCCAUGCCGCGCGAGUGAUGAAGGCCCUAGGGUUGUAAAGCUCUUUCACCGGUGAAGAUAAUGACGGUAACCGGAGAAGAAGCCCCGGCUAACUUCGUGCCAGCCGCCGCGGUAAGAC